rnacentral:tRNA from 1 species
GGGGGUAUAGCCCAGUGGUAGAGGGCAUGCUUGACAUGCAUGAGGUCCUAGGCUCAAUCUUCAGUGCCUCCA